GAUUAUCAUGUUUACUUUUAUAGAAGCCACAUACUAUGAACAUUAUUAACAAGGAUAGAUAUCAUUCUCUCUACUGAAAAGCGGAUGCUUCCAAUUUUUUGACUAGUUGUUGGUCCCAAACCACUUCAAGUGCCAAACAUGCAUUGAUGUGAAAGUUGGCAUAAUGAAGAGGAGGGAUUUUACAGCAUGCAUCAAAGUAGAGCUUUCAAACAAA
rnacentral:lncRNA from 1 species